rnacentral:rRNA from 1 species
UACGUAGGGGGCGAGCGUUGUCCGGAUUUAUUGGGCGUAAAGAGCGUGUAGGCGGCUUGGUAGGUCUGCUGUGAAAACUCGGGGCUCAACCCCGAGACGCCGAUGGAAACCAUGUGGCUAGAGUCCGGAAGAGGAGAGUGGAAUUCCUGGUGUAGCGGUGAAAUGCGCAGAUAUCAGGAAGAACACCCGUGGCUAAGGCGGCUCUCUAGUACGGUACUGACGCUGAGACGCGAAAGCGUGGGGAGCAAACAGG